GACGGACGCUGGCGGCGUGCCUAAUACAUGCAAGUAGAACGCUGAAGGAGGAGCUUGCUUCUCUGGAUGAGUUGCGAACGGGUGAGUAACGCGCAGGUAACCUGCCUGGUAGCGGGGGAUAACUAGUGGAAACGAUAGCUAAUACCGCAUAAUAGUAGAUGUUGCAUGACAUUUACUUAAAAGGUGCAAUUGCAUCACUAACAGAUGGACCUGCGUUGUAUUAGCUAGUUGGUGGGGUAACGGCUCACCAAGGCGACGAUACACAGCCGACCUGAGAGGGGGAUCGGCCACACUGGGACUGGGACACGGCCCAGACUCCUACGGGAGGCAGCAGUAGGGAAUCUUCGGCAAUGGACGAAAGUCUGGCCGAGCAACGCCGCGUGAGUGAAGAAGGUUUUCGGAUCGUGAAGCUCUGUUGUAAGAGAAGAACGAGUGUGAGAGUGGAAAGUUCACACUGUGACGGUAUCUUACCAGAAAGGGACGGCUAACUACGUG
rnacentral:rRNA from 1 species